rnacentral:lncRNA from 1 species
UUCAAUUGCACAGUAUUGCACAAUAGCAAGAAAUAUCUAAUUGCACAAUAUUGUGCAAUAGCAAGAAAUUCCAAUUGGAUUUCAAUUGGAGUUAUCUUUCUUUGUCCAGAAUAGUAUUUGAAUCAACUUAAAUCAUUGUUUUAUACAAUAUACAAUGUAUAUUCACUUUUACUACCAACUGAUAGAUUAAAACAAUCUUUACCAUUCAGUGAUAACAAGCACUUUUUUUACAUUUUAAUAUUUUAUGAUGUAUUUAAAUGAGUAGUUAUUAUUGUUGCAAACUUCAUUAGAAAUUUGAAUUGAGAUCAGUUUUGAAAUAAGGGAAAGGGGGAUGUGAAAAAAAAAUUGGGGGGUCAAUUUUUUUCAUUUCAGAUUUCAUAAAUAAAAAGAAAAUUUCUUCAAACAUUUUUUUGAGAGGAUUAAUAUUCAACGGCAUAGUGAAUUGCUCAAAGGCAAAAAAAAAUUUUUAAGUUCAUUAGACCACAUUCAUUCUGUGUCAGAAACCUAUGCUGUGUCAACUAUUUAAUCACAAUCCAAAUUUAGAGCUGAAUCCAGCUUGAAUGUUGUGUGUCCAUACUUGCCCAACCGUUCAGGGUUCAACUCUGCGGUCGUAUAAAGCUGCGCCCUGCGGAGCAUCUGGUUAUCUGUAUUUUCUGUAUUUAAAGAUAUUUUUUUAGAAACUGGUAAGUUCAAAAAACAUAUAGAGCAAGAUUAUAAAACACAAGAUAUUUUUUUUUAUCGAGGAUCUUGAAUUUCAAUAUUGUUGAAAGCUGAACAGACAUGUAUAUAACAUCAAAUAGAGACUUUCUAUGCUAGUCUAGUAUAUACUUAGUAUAGAAAGUCCCUGCUACAACGAAUGGGAGUGUUUACUUACUAAGGCAUUGACCAUAAUGUUCAUAAUGCUCAUACGAUCGGGAAACUUAAAAAAAAAAUCCAACAGCUGAUUUAGCGGUAACGAAUUUCUGAUAUCUUAAAAGAUUCACAAUACAAAAGGAACUUCCUCUGCUUAAAUAAUUGAGCCCCAAAAUAAAUGUGAAUAGUUUUAAAGUUUUUAUUCAAAAUUAUCGAAAACAAAGUUUCAUAUGUGUUCUCAUACGAAUACUGACCCCCUCAAUACUAAAUAACAGACGUACGGCCACACGAAAAAAUGAAAAAUAAAAUAAAUUCAAGUUCUUCGUGUUCAUAUUGUCAAUAUUUUAUUUUUUUACUUCAAAAAAAAAAAUAUUGGUGUAGAAAAUUCAGGAAGGCAACUGCCUCCCCUGCCUCAUAGGUAGUUACGGCCC